AACAGAUCCAUAGCUCACAUAAUUUAAUACUUUAAUAUAUUUAUAAAGUUAUAUAAAGAAUAUUAUGGUAUACUCAAAAAUAGAGUCUUAUAUCCACACAAAAAUUCAAUGAUGGCUAUUUCCAAACGGCAAACACAACAGGUCCAGAACAAGCCAAAAUCCCAACACUGGCGAUCACUGGUGCAAUUGAAUUGAAGUAAAUAUUUUGUUACAUCAUAUCGGUAAUUUAUAUAUAAACAAACAAAAAGUAUUUGCCAUAAUACAAGAUACAAAAGUGUACAGAUCGUACGUAUAAAUCCUCAAUCAGAUUAAAUGUAACAAUUAACUUGUAUUUGAAAUCUUGCAAAUAAAUGCAAUUUCGACUUUGUUUACGUCGUAUUCGUGAAUUUCCACGUGUAAUUCCCGCACUUGAACACCAAUUUCCGGUAUCGGUGUUAUUGAUCUCACGCCAGCCAAUGAAAUUGAUAAUUUCAUUCCGUUUC